UACGUAGGUGGCAAGCGUUGUCCGGAUUUAUUGGGUUUAAAGGGUGCGUAGGCGGCCCUGUAAGUCAGUGCUGAAAUAUCCCGGCUUAACCGGGAGGGUGGCAUUGAUACUGCGGGGCUAGAGUACAGAUGAGGUAAGCGGAAUUGACGGUGUAGCGGUGAAAUGCUUAGAUAUCGUCAAGAACACCUAUAGCGAAGGCAGCUUACUAGGCUGUAACUGACGCUGAGGCACGAAAGUGUGGGGAUCAAACAGG
rnacentral:rRNA from 1 species